UACGGGGGGGCAAGCGUUGUUCGGAAUUACUGGGCGUAAAGGGCUCGUAGGCGGCCAACUAAGUCAGACGUGAAAUCCCUCGGCUUAACCGGGGAACUGCGUCUGAUACUGGAUGGCUUGAGUUCGGGAGAGGGAUGCGGAAUUCCAGGUGUAGCGGUGAAAUGCGUAGAUAUCAGGAGGAACACCGGUGGCGAAGGCGGCUCUCUGGACGGUGACUGACGCUGAGGAGCGAAAGCGUGGGGAGCAAACAGG
rnacentral:rRNA from 1 species